GGAUAGUUCAGUCUAUAGAACAGGAUACACUUAAUCUCAGGGUUGUGGGUUCAAACCCCACGUUAGGCA